GCGUGAGUGAUGAAGGCCUUAGGGUUGUAAAGCUCUUUCACCCACGACGAUGAUGACGGUAGUGGGAGAAGAAGCCCCGGCUAACUUCGUGCCAGCAGCCGCGGUAAUACGAAGGGGGCGAGCGUUGUUCGGAUUUACUGGGCGUAAAGGGCGCGCAGGCGGCUAUCCAAGUCAGGCGUGAAAGCCCCGGGCUUAACCUGGGAGGUGCGUCUGGGACUGGGUGGCUAGAGUUCGGGAGAGGAGAGUGGAAUUCCCAGUGUAGAGGUGAAAUUCGU
rnacentral:rRNA from 1 species